GCCCACAUAGCUCAGCAGGCAGAGUGUCGCCAUGGUAAGGCGAAGGUCGCCGGUUCAAGUCCGGCUGUGGGCUCCA
rnacentral:tRNA from 1 species